GAGGAUGUAGCUCAGUGGUAGGGUGCAUGCCUAGCGCACAUGAAGUCCUGGGCUCAAUCCCCAGUACCUCCA
rfam:Camelus ferus unplaced genomic scaffold scaffold757, whole genome shotgun sequence.